rnacentral:misc_RNA from 1 species
GAGCGUCAUUUAAACCUUCAAGCUAUGCUUGGUGUUGGGUGUUUGUUCUGCCUUAGCGCGUGGACUCGCCUCAAAUUCAUUGGCAGCCGGUAUGUUGGCUUCGUGCGCAGCACAUUGCAAGCGACUUCAGCAGACCCCCUUCCAUUAAGCCCUUUUUUUACUUUGACCUCGGAUCAGGUAGGGAUACCCGCUGAACUUAA